CCUACGGGAGGCAGCAGUGAGGAAUAUUGGUCAAUGGCCGUAAGGCUGAACCAGCCAAGUAGCGUGAGGGAAGACUGCCCUAUGGGCUGUAAACCUCUUUUAUGCGGGGAUAAAGGUGUCCACGUGUGGAUGUUUGCAGGUACCGCAUGAAUAAGGACCGGCUAAUUCCGUGCCAGCAGCCGCGGUAAUACGGUAGGUCCGGGCGUUAUCCGGAUGUAUUGGGUUUAAAGGGAGCGUAGGCCGGUCUUUAAGCGUGCCGUGAAAUUUUGUGGCUCAACCAUGAGAGUGCGGCGCGAACUGGAGACCUUGAGUGCGCGGAAGGCAGGCGGAAUUCGUGGUGUAGCGGUGAAAUGCGUAGAUAUCACGAAGAACCUCGAUUGCGAAGGCAGCCUGCCGCAGCGUUACUGACGCUGAAGCUCGAAAGCGCGGGUAGCGAACAGGAUUAGAUACCCGGGUAGUC
rnacentral:rRNA from 1 species